rnacentral:rRNA from 1 species
UAAACCAGGAUUAGAUACCCUAUUAUACUCAGAUGAAAGUCCUUAAGGGAGUAGUUGUUAAAAUCUUGGAACCUAAAAGGUAUGGCGGUAUUUAGUUGAAUCAGAGGAACCUGCCUAGUAAGCGAUACCCCUCGAUAUAUCUUACCUUUUUUAGGUUUGUAUACCGUCGUCUAAGCUAUAUUUAUAAAUCUAAGAGUUAAAAAUAGGGAUAAGAAAUUCAGAUCCAGGCGCAGCUUAAAAAGGUUCAGGUGGGUUACAAUUAAACUUUUAAUGGAGAGAGAAGUAAGACCUUCUCUUGAAACCGGAUUGAAAGUAA